GGGGAAAAAUUUAUUGCUAUUAGAUGAGCCUAUAUUAGAUUAGCUAGUUGGUGGAGUAAUAGCCUACCAAGGCAAUGAUCUAUAGCUGAUCUGAGAGGAUGAUCAACCACACUGGAACUGAGAUACGGUCCAGACUCCUACGGGAGGCAGCAGUGGGGAAUAUUGGACAAUGGGCGAAAGCCUGAUCCAGCCAUGCCGCAUGAGUGAAGAAGGCCUUUGGGUUGUAAAGCUCUUUUAGUGAGGAAGAUAAUGACGGUACUCACAGAAGAAGUCCUGGCUAACUCCGUGCCAGCAGCCGCGGUAAUACGGAGAGGGCUAGCGUUAUUCGGAAUUAUUGGGCGUAAAGGGUGCGUAGGCGGAUUAGUAAGUUAAAAGUGAAAUCCCAAUGCUUAACCUUGGAAUUGCUUUUAAAACUGCUAAUCUAUAGAUUGAAAGAGGAUAGAGGAAUUCCUAGUGUAGAGGUGAAAUUCGUAAAUAUUAGGAGGAACACCAGUGGGGAAGGCGUCUAUCUGGUUCAAAUCUGACGCUGAGGGGCGAAGGCGUGGGGAGCAAACAGGAUUAGAUACCCUGGUAGUCCACGCUGUAAACGAUGAAUGUUAAAUAUGGGAAGUUUUACUUUCUGUAUUACAGCUAACGCGUUAAACAUUCCGCCUGGGGACUACGGUCGCAAGAUUAAAACUCAAAGGAAUUGACG
rnacentral:rRNA from 1 species